rnacentral:rRNA from 1 species
UACGGAGGGGGCUAGCGUUGUUCGGAAUUACUGGGCGUAAAGCGCGCGUAGGCGGACCUGCAAGUCGGGGGUGAAAGCCCGAGGCUCAACCUCGGAACUGCCUUCGAUACUGCGGGUCUCGAGUCCGGGAGAGGUGAGUGGAAUUCCUAGUGUAGCGGUGAAAUGCGCAGAUAUCAGGAAGAACACCCGUGGCGAAAGCGGCUCUCUGGAACGGUACUGACGCUGAGACGCGAAAGCGUGGGGAGCGAACAGG